GCGCCUGUAGCUCAGGGGAUAGAGCAACGGAUUCCUAAUCCGUAGGUCGGAGGUUCGAAUCCUCUCAGGCGUG
rnacentral:tRNA from 1 species